UAAAAACAAUGUUUAAAUGCUACAAGUAAAUUUAGGCAUGGCAGCAUUAUAUGGAUGGAUAUUCAUUUUGAGAUUGGCUAAAAAAUAAAUAUAACAGUGUAUUAAAUUAUUAGUGUUUUUACCGAUUAGCUUUGCCACCAUUUAACACACAUAAAGUUAAUCAAAAUAUAAAAAUGGCGGAAAUAAAUUCACAAUUAAAUAUCUAAUAUUGACCAAUACCGAUAUGAAUUACAAUAUCUGAUAAGGUACUGAUAAGUUGUGCAUCCCAACUCAGUAUUAUCAAUAAUAUUUUAGUAUCAAUAACCCCACUGAGCACACAAAAACUAAAACUAACAUGAUCACACAUCUACAAGCCACAGAAAGUUGUGCUUUUUCAGAUCUGCCAAGAAAAAGGAAGUCAUCAUUUGGUGUUUCCACCAAACCUCUUCCAGUUCAGACCAACUGCUGGCAAAGAGACGGACAACACACAGACAUAGAAAAGACUGGAUAGUGUCAGACAGGAGCAGGGCAUCCAUUAGGAAGACCACACAGGGCUCCAGACACUUCUCCAGUGAGAUAGACGUUAUCAGAUCCAUGUGUGUUUGGACCUCAGCGAUCUUCAAAAUAUCUUUUAUGUUCCACAGAAGAAAGUCAGUCGUACAGGUUUGGAACGACAUGAGAUAUGGUUUGGCAUCUUUAAAAACUGGAACUUGAGAGUGGAAACCUUUCUGUACAUCUUUGGAGAGCAGACGACAGUCAUUGGCGUGUCAAAGGGCCAAGUGUUCACAUAUGGUCACAUAGCUGAACUAAUGGCUGACAGGCCUCAGCAAGGGCAUUAAAGUGACCCUGCCUCCAGGACAACACAAGCACGGACCAGCGCUCUGUAAACAGGGAUCCAGAAAUCUGUAAACAUACAAUUAGGCCAUUAAUGUUGCACAAUGGACUACUCACUCCUGAUAUCUCAACCACAAUAUAAAAAGGUUUUUCUUUAUUCCAAAGAACUUGUAGUUUAAAUUACACAAUCAGAAAGUCCGCAAUUAUGUGAACUAAAGUAAACAUAAAUCCAGUCUGUUGUA